rnacentral:lncRNA from 1 species
ACAAUAACAUACAAGCUCUUUUGUUGUCAAAUUAUUCAUCACAUCAAACACAUUUAAAUGGUGCAACAUGUUCAAGUUGUUCCCAUUGCUGAAAAUACAUACAUUACGAGUCUUAAAGGAUUACCUGGAUAGCAAAAGAAUAAACAAUAGUCCAGCAAUUAAAGCAGCAUAAAAAUAGCAGCACAACAACCAAAAAACCAGCAGCAAAUUCGUGUUAAAACAGCCCGAAAACUCAGAGAAGAAACCCAGAAACGAACUCUAAAGAGGACUUAUACUUUUCUAAAAAGUUUGCACUCUAAUAUUCACUCUUAAGACUUACAAUUUCAACUUACUAAAGGAUGCUUCAGCUGCUGAUUUUUUUUUUGUAUGUUCAAGGCAAAAAUAAAAUGCUCUAUGGAAGUGUGAUGGAGUCCCCCCAAAGUGAGGAAAGGGCAGCCCUUAAAUAGGGAAACUUGGAUAGAUUUUGGUUUACCAAAAGUCUGUCCGACAAAAUCUAACAUUGUGUACUAAACACUAUUCAAAAUCUGUCCAAAGAUCAAAGAAAAUCUACUAUGUCAGAAACAAGGAGAAAAAAAAUGUCAUUUCAGCCACCCUAACUAGUAAAAGUAAGCUACUAGCAUCCUAUUUUAUGAUAAAAUAACAUAAACUUCAGAUUUUAACAACAUGAAUAUCACCCUGUUGAUUCAAACUAAACCAAGUAUUAAAACAUGUAAUAAAACUUCAACACAUGUGUUAUGAACCAAUCGUAAGCAAACAAAAAUUAACUAUUAAAGCCAAACGGAAUGCUGAAGCGAUUUAAUAAAACCAACUAGACAAACAUAAUCAAAAAUGGAUUAAAUGAAGAAACAAGACAGAAACUAACUCUAACUAAAAGACCAAAAAAUCAUAAAAUUAAUAACGGGGCAGAGGAUUACAAUUUUACCACAUACUCGAGCAUCCCAGAAAUGACGAUAGGCAGUGGUACGACUUCGAGCAAGCUUCUAUUGUUGAUAUUCUUGAAACCAAAUAUUCC